rnacentral:rRNA from 1 species
GCAGUCGAGGGGUAUAGGAAGCUUGCUUCCUAGAGACCGGCGCACGGGUGCGUAACGCGUAUGCAAUCUACCUUGUACAGGGGGAUAGCCCAGAGAAAUUUGGAUUAAUACCCCAUAGUAUUAUUGAAUGGCAUCAUUUAAUUAUUAAAGUUCCAACGGUACAAGAUGAGCAUGCGUCCUAUUAGCUAGUUGGUGUGGUAACGGCACACCAAGGCUACGAUAGGUAGGGGUCCUGAGAGGGAGAUCCCCCACACUGGUACUGAGACACGGACCAGACUCCUACGGGAGGCAGCAGUGAGGAAUAUUGGACAAUGGGCGCAAGCCUGAUCCAGCCAUGCCGCGUGCAGGAAGAAGCAUCUAUGGUGUGUAAACUGCUUUUGUACGGGAAGAAACACUGCUACGUGUAGCAGCUUGACGGUACCGUAAGAAUAAGGAUCGGCUAACUCCGUGCCAGCAGCCGCGGUAAUACGGAGGAUCCAAGCGUUAUCCGGAAUCAUUGGGUUUAAAGGGUCCGUAGGCGGUCUAAUAAGUCAGUGGUGAAAGCCCAUCGCUCAACGAUGGAACGGCCAUUGAUACUGUUAGACUUGAAUUAUUGGGAAGUAACUAGAAUAUGCAGUGUAGCGGUGAAAUGCUUAGAUAUUACAUGGAAUACCAAUUGCGAAGGCAGGUUACUAUCAAUAUAUUGACGCUGAUGGACGAAAGCGUGGGGAGCGAACAGGAUUAGAUACCCUGGUAGUCCACGCCGUAAACGAUGGAUACUAGCUGUUCGGAGCAAUCUGAGUGGCUA